rnacentral:rRNA from 1 species
CCUACGGGUGACAGCAGUGAGGAAUAUUGGUCAAUGGUCGGGAGACUGAACCAGCCAAGCCGCGUGAGGGAGGAAGGUACAGAGUAUCGUAAACCUCUUUUGUCAGGGAACAAAGACUGGGACGCGUCCCCGGAUGAGUGUACCUGAAGAAAAAGCAUCGGCUAACUCCGUGCCAGCAGCCGCGGUAAUACGGAGGAUGCGAGCGUUAUCCGGAUUUAUUGGGUUUAAAGGGUGCGCAGGCGGUCUGUAAAGUCAGCGGUCAAAGCCCGGGGCCAAACCCCGGCCCGCCGUUGAAACUGGCAGUCUCGAGUUGGAGAGAAGUAUGCGGAAUGCGCGGUGUAGCGGUGAAAUGCAUAGAUAUCGCGCAGAACUCCGAUUGCGAAGGCAGCAUACCGGCGCCCAACUGACGCUCAGGCACGAAAGCGUGGGUAUCGAACAGGAUUAGAUACCCUUGUAGUC